UGGGGAAUUUUGGACAAUUGGGCGAAAGCCUGAUCCAGCAAUGCCGCGUGUGUGAAGAAGGCCUUCGGGUUGUAAAGCACUUUUGUCCGGAAAGAAAUCCUUGGCUCUAAUACAGUCGGGGGAUGACGGUACCGGAAGAAUAAGCACCGGCUAACUACGUGCCAGCAGCCGCGGUAAUACGUAGGGUGCAAGCGUUAAUCGGAAUUACUGGGCGUAAAGCGUGCGCAGGCGGUUUGCUAAGACCGAUGUGAAAUCCCCGGGCUCAACCUGGGAACUGCAUUGGUGACUGGCAGGCUAGAGUAUGGCAGAGGGGGGUAGAAUUCCACGUGUAGCAGUGAAAUGCGUAGAGAUGUGGAGGAAUACCGAUGGCGAAGGCAGCCCCCUGGGCAAUACUGACGCUCAUGCACGAAAGCGUGGGGAGCAAACAGGAUUAGAUACCCUGGUAGUCCACGCCCUAAACGAUGUCAACUAGUUGUUGGGGAUUCAUUUCCUUAGUAACGUAGCUAACGCGUGAAGUUGACCGCCUGGGGAGUACGGUCGCAAGAUUAAAACUCAAAU
rnacentral:rRNA from 1 species